rnacentral:lncRNA from 1 species
CAUGACAGUAAAACCAAACCAUAACAGUGAAACAGAAGGUACCUAUUUUGUACCAGUUAAUCUUCGGGCUAGAUCUCGCUCGUGCGAGGAGGCCCUAAAAGACUUGUGAACCCCUUGUGAACGCCCUCGGUGAUCCUUAACUGGCGUGAACUGGCGCAGGAUAGGGCAGAGUGGCGAUCUCUUGUGUCGGAUCUCGUGUGAUCCUCUUUGGGUCGCUGAGCCAGUGAAAUUAUGAGUAUUAGCCACGAUAUAACUCAUGAAGGAGGGAGAACCUAGAGAACGAACCUAUGGAACGAGAGAGAGUUGGUCAUAAAUAGAACAGGAGCGAUGAGAUAUUGGAGAAACUGUUAGAAGGAGAUCGUCCAAUGACGGCGUUCUUGUGCUAUCAAAUAGGUACCUAAUGUGAAGAUAAUACCUAGAUUUCUACUCGUCUAAUACCUCGCCUACCUCGAAAAAUUCAAUAAAUCAAUCAAUCAAAAUA